UGUUACGUACAUUCCUAUAGUGUUAAUGCACUAGAUCCAAUUAGAACCGUAUAUUUAAGUGCGCUUGGGCUAGAAUAGUAUUGGGAUGGGUGACCUUCCAAGAAUUCCUAGUGUUUUACAU
rfam:Picea glauca, whole genome shotgun sequence.